rnacentral:rRNA from 1 species
UACAGAGGUGGCAAGCGUUGUUCGGAAUUAUUGGGCGUAAAGAGCUCGUAGGCGGUCUGUCGCGUCGGUCGUGAAAACUUGGGGCUUAACCCUGAGCUUGCGGUCGAUACGGGCAUGACUGGAGUUCGGCAGGGGAGACUGGAAUUCCUGGUGUAGCGGUGAGAUGCGCAGAUAUCAGGAGGAACACCGGUGGCGAAGGCGGGUCUCUGGGCCGAUACUGACGCUGAGGAGCGAAAGCGUGGGGAGCGAACAGG